UACGUAGGGGGCAAGCGUUGUCCGGAUUCAUUGGGCGUAAAGAGCUCGUAGGCGGCUGCUCAAGUCGAAUGUGAAAACUCGAGGCUCAACCUCGAGCCUGCAUUCGAUACUGGGCGGCUAGAGUCUGGUAGGGGGAUCUGGAAUUCCUGGUGUAGCGGUGGAAUGCGCAGAUAUCAGGAGGAACACCGGUGGCGAAGGCGGGAUCCUGGGCCAGUACUGACGCUGAGACGCGAAAGCGUGGGGAGCGAACAGG
rnacentral:rRNA from 1 species